UACGUAGGGUGCAAGCGUUAAUCGGAAUUACUGGGCGUAAAGCGUGCGCAGGCGGUUUUGUAAGAACGAUGUGAAAUCCCCGGGCUUAACCUGGGAACUGCAUUGGUGACUGCAAGGCUUGAGUGUGUCAGAGGGAGGUGGAAUUCCGCGUGUAGCAGUGAAAUGCGUAGAUAUGCGGAGGAACACCGAUGGCGAAGGCAGCCUCCUGGGAUAACACUGACGCUCAUGCACGAAAGCGUGGGGAGCAAACAGG
rnacentral:rRNA from 1 species